rnacentral:rRNA from 1 species
UACGAGAGGCCCAAACGUUAUUCGGAAUUACUGGGCUUAAAGAGUUCGUAGGCGGCGCAGUAAGUAGGGUGUGAAAGCCCUCGGCUCAACCGAGGAAUUGCGCUCUAAACUACUGUGCUUGAGGAAUCUAGAGGUGAGCGGAACUGAUGGUGGAGCGGUGAAAUGCGUUGAUAUCAUCAGGAACACCGGAGGCGAAGGCGGCUCACUGGGGAUUUUCUGACGCUGAGGAACGAAAGCCAGGGGAGCGAACGGG